rnacentral:rRNA from 1 species
UGGGGAAUCUUGCGCAAUAGCCGAAAGGCUGACGCAGCGACGCCGCGUGUGGGAUGAAGGUCUUCGGAUUGUAAACCACUGUCGGGAGGGACGAAGCUCUGACGGUACCUCCAAAGGAAGCACCGGCUAACUCUGUGCCAGCAGCCGCGGUAAUACAGAGGGUGCGAGCGUUGUCCGGAAUCACUGGGCGUAAAGGGCGCGUAGGCGGCCUGGUAAGUCGGGGGUGAAACGCUGCGGCUCAACCGCAGCACUGCCUUCGAGACUGCCGGGCUUGAGCACGGUAGAGGCUGGUGGAAUUCCCGGUGUAGCGGUGGAAUGCGUAGAGAUCGGGAAGAACAUCGGUGGCGAAGGCGGCCAGCUGGGCCGUUGCUGACGCUGAGGCGCGACAGCGUGGGGAGCAAACAGG